rnacentral:rRNA from 1 species
AUUGAACGCUGGCGGCAGGCCUAACACAUGCAAGUCGAACGAGUGGCGGACGGGUGAGUAAUGUCUGGGAAACUGCCUGAUGGAGGGGGAUAACUACUGGAAACGGUAGCUAAUACCGCAUACCAUCAGAUGUGCCCAGAUGGGAUUUGCUUGUUGGUGGGGUAACGGUUCACCAAGGCGACGAUCCCUAGCUGGUCUGAGAGGAGGACCAGCCACACUGGAACUGAUACACGCUCCAGACUCUUACGUGAUGCAGCAGUGGGGAUUAUUGCACAAUGGGCGAAAGCCUGAUGCAGCCAGGCCGCGUGUAGGAAGAAGUCCUUCGGGUUGUAAAGUACUUUCAGCGGGAAGGCGUUACCCGCAGAAGAAGCACCGGCUAACUCCGUGCCAGCAGCCGCGGUAAUAC